rnacentral:rRNA from 1 species
AUUGAACGCUGGCGGCAUGCCUUACACAUGCAAGUCGAACGGUAACAGGUUAAGCUGACGGGUGGCGAACGGGUGAGUAAUGUAUCGGAACGUGCCCAGUCGUGGGGGAUAACUGCUCGAAAGAGCAGCUAAUACCGCAUACGACCUGAGGGUGAAAGCGGGGGAUCGCAAGACCUCGCGCGAUUGGAGCGGCCGAUAUCAGAUUAGGUAGUUGGUGAGGUAAAGGCUCACCAAGCCGACGAUCUGUAGCUGGUCUGAGAGGACGACCAGCCACACUGGGACUGAGACACGGCCCAGACUCCUACGGGAGGCAGCAGUGGGGAAUUUUGGACAAUGGGCGCAAGCCUGAUCCAGCCAUGCCGCGUGCGGGAAGAAGGCCUUCGGGUUGUAAACCGCUUUUGUCAGGGAAGAAAAGGUUCUGGCUAAUACCUGGGACUCAUGACGGUACCUGAAGAAUAAGCACCGGCUAACUACGU